AUUGAACGCUGGCGGCAGGCCUAACACAUGCAAGUCGAGCGGAUGAAGGGAGCUUGCUCCUGGAUUCAGCGGCGGACGGGUGAGUAAUGCCUAGGAAUCUGCCUGGUAGUGGGGGAUAACGUCCGGAAACGGGCGCUAAUACCGCAUACGUCCUGAGGGAGAAAGUGGGGGAUCUUCGGACCUCACGCUAUCAGAUGAGCCUAGGUCGGAUUAGCUAGUUGGUGGGGUAAAGGCCUACCAAGGCGACGAUCCGUAACUGGUCUGAGAGGAUGAUCAGUCACACUGGAACUGAGACACGGUCCAGACUCCUACGGGAGGAAGCAGUGGGGAAUAUUGGACAAUGGGCGAAAGCCUGAUACAGCCAUGCCGGGUGUGUGAAGAAGGUCUUCGGAUUGUAAAGCACUUUAAGUUGGGAGGAAGGGCAGUAAGUUAAUACCUUGCUGUUUUGACGUUACCAACAGAAUAAGCACCGGCUAACUUCGUG
rnacentral:rRNA from 1 species